CUGAUGAGGGCAACCAUUUUGGAGUCAAGGGCUGUCUAUAGAAACAGGGCAGUUUGGCUGCUGGAAGCCAGGCAACAACACUGCCUGGCCAGAGGGCUGCUGGUAUCAUCUGGAGAUUCUUAACAUCUUUUGCAGCACCUGAAAGGAACGGACAAAGGGAGGUGAUGGAGCUUCUCAAAGGAACAGUUCCAGGAAAUCUUUAUUAGAGCAAGUAUUCAAUAGCUGAAAGGCAGUGAUUGUUAUCAGCACAACAAAACCAAGGAAAAGACCCCAAAUUCAACUUCUAACAAAAGAGCACUAAGAAAAUUAAGAAUUUCUUGUUGGCUGGACUGUGGUUGAGUAUUGCAUUUAAAAUAAUUGUAGCUAUAAGAACAGAACUACUUAUGGAAUGAGAAAAAAAAUAGACAUAACAGCAAAGGUAACCUAUUUCAGAAAGUUAAAUUGCUGGCCAUCACUAGAAUACCUAAGAAAGCUCUACGUAAAUUUGAUAGCAAUAACAAAGUUCCCAAAGGAUUGCCUUCUUGUUAUUUCUAAUAUUUCUCUUUUAUCUGGGAAAGAAACUGCUUAAUUAGUGCAUGGGUAGGGGAGAUGAUUUUUUUUCCCUCUGUCUGGUAUGGCUUUUAAAGCUGCUUUGUUUUAGAGUUUUUUAUAUUAUGUACUAGAUGGCUGAGAUUUGUUUGUCUGAAUGGAGAUGUCAGCUAUCGGAACACCUUACCCAGGCAUGUGGUAAAUUCUUAAAAGUAAUGACUUCUUUAAUUCAGGACUGGGUUCUUUUUCAGUGGUAUACUCUGGUUCAAACACACAUUGGGCUUGCUGUAAGAAAAGCUAUGGCCUUUAUUAAUGUUAUACUCUAUCCAUAAUCUAUUCAUCUAUUUUGUGAUAUAUUCUGAUUGUUCUCUUUAUGACACACUGCUGCUGCUUCCUUUGUUAACUUUCAACAUACCAGGAAUCCAAUAUUGGCUUCCCUUUCACUUGUCUGAAUUCUUGAUUAAGCUGCCAGUUUUUAGAAUAGAAACCCAGGUUUGCAAACAUGUAAUAGAUCUUGAAGACAAAUCCUUGGCACUGGUUAAAUAUGUAAUUAAAUUGUAAUUUUCUGUCACACACACCUACCAUUCUUUAUUGUUUUAAACCAAAUCUACAACACAUGAAAACAGUACCUGUCCUAUACAUCACUCACAGAUAGAGCUUUCACAGAAGUUUCAAUAUUA